rnacentral:rRNA from 1 species
AACGAACGCUGGCGGCAUGCCUAACACAUGCAAGUCGAACGAGACCUUCGGGUCUAGUGGCGCACGGGUGCGUAACGCGUGGGAACCUGCCCUUAGGUUCGGAAUAACUCCCCGAAAGGGGUGCUAAUACCGGAUAAUGUCUUCGGACCAAAGAUUUAUCGCCUUUGGAUGGGCCCGCGUUGGAUUAGCUAGUUGGUAGGGUAAAAGCCUACCAAGGCGACGAUCCAUAGCUGGUCUGAGAGGAUGAUCAGCCACACUGGGACUGAGACACGGCCCAGACUCCUACGGGAGGCAGCAGUGGGGAAUAUUGGACAAUGGGCGAAAGCCUGAUCCAGCAAUGCCGCGGGAGUGAUGAAGGCCUUAGGGUUGUAAAGCUCUUUUACCCGGGAUGAUAAUGACAGUACCGGGAGAAUAAGCCCCGGCUAACUCCGG